rnacentral:rRNA from 1 species
GUCUACGGCCAUACCACCCUGAACGCGCCCGAUCUCGUCUGAUCUCGGAAGCUAAGCAGGGUCGGGCCUGGUUAGUACUUGGAUGGGAAAAGUUUUCCACCCCUUUGUCAGAGAUCUUGCAGUCUCCAUGGGAA